rnacentral:antisense_RNA from 1 species
CUCAUGACUUGGAAGCGGUGGGCUGAGGCCUCCCAAGACCAUCUGGCUUGUUCCAUUGCCAGCCAGAGUGGAGGCGACAUUCACACGAACCCAGGAGCUGCAGGGGCGCGUGAGCUACAGCUGCCUUGUGGCAUCCAAGGAGUGCGCAACUAGUCUCACUCUGUUGCCCAGGCUGGAGUGCAGUGGCGCGAUCUCAGCUUACUUCAGCCUCCGCCUCCCGGUUUCAAGUGAUUCUCCAGCCUCAACUUCACAAGUAGCUGGGAUUACAGCCACUUUUUAUCUUCUCUCCUGCAAUCCAACCCACAUAAUUUCCAUGAAGAAGGCGGAGUGGUGUCAUUUUACAACAAGAAAACUGAGUUAAGAAUAAGUCCAAUCAAUUGCUAGGUGUUGAGACUGAAAUGGAAGUCUCUUAGUACUCCACCCAAGGAUUUUCAUAUUAAACAAUUAUCUUGUCAUCAUUUUA